AUAAUAAAGAGGUACCUUAAGAAAUUUCCUUCCAUAACUAAUUUCUUUGUAACGAAAUUCACAGUUUGUCAAAAGAUGUUGUAUCUCUAUUAUAAACAUAAUCUUUUACAUCCUCCCUAUAUCGAGUUCUCUGCAAAUUGUUACUUUUUCCCACUGAUCAAUUAUUAAAUAGAUAUUUUUAUUGUUACGCUAGUCAGUAGCUAAUAUUUACUAUAAAAUACCGCUUCUCUGUUCUUUAUUAGCGCAAUAAACAUUUUUAUUAUUUAAUCGGCGAAUAUUUUUUGGAACCGAUUUUUUUUACACCGAUUUCGACGAUUUCACAACCUUUGUAAUAAUAUCUGCUUAUGAAAGUAGCAAACAGACUAAAUUUACUUCUUAACUUUACUUCCGUGACAUAAAAAUAUGGAAGGAACAAGCACAGAGGUACAUAUUAGCACGAUCACUUGUAAUUUUCAAACGGUACUUGUUUCACUAUAUACAUAUGUUUCCGCUCGCAUAUCAUAGGUAUGUAUAUACUAGCACUGCCCUAUACAGGAUAGAAUGCCAGAUAUUAGUGCCUAUCCUGUUUAUUUCGCUAUUCAUAUUUAUCCCAAAACCAAAACAUUAAAAUAUAACUAACAUAUUAACACAAGGCACAAUGUCAUUCAGUUUAUUUUUCAGUGAUAAUAAUUCCAUUACGCAAAUAAUGUAAUGACAAGUUUCCGCCUCUAUAAUCAUUGCAUUAUAAUUAUAAAAUAAUCAUAAUUAUAAUUGUGUAGUAAAUUAUCCAUAAAUUAUCUAAAUUAUCUAAUUUAAAAUAUCCUUUCCUUUUGCUAUCGCUCAGAAUGGUGAUAAACGCUGUAGUUCGUUAAAGAAGGAUUGUUUUCUCGGGUUUUCAUCAAAAGCGCUAAACCAGUUAUCAAAGUCUAUUUACAAGGGUUCGCACGUUUAUCCAUAAACGCGGAGCUGCUCUUUUUUCUUCGUGGGUCAAUUUCAUUCGAGACGAUGAAGAAACGAUCAAGGCAGGGACGAUUUACAGGCUGCCCGAUAGGUGGGGUCUGGCAAUUGCGGAUCAAUGGCGAUUUAAUUAAAGAUUAUGGCUCGACGAAAAUUAAGAUUAAUCUCACCCCUAGCUACGGAAGAGAAGAAUAAAAGGGGUAGAAAAGGAGGAGGGUGAUGACGUCGAAGCGGUUUGCUCGUCGACCUCGCGGCCAAUGGCCUUAAUUAUUCGAUGGAGACAGAUGGAAGGAGAGAGAGACAGUGAGAAACAGAGAGAGAGGGGGGGGGGGGAAUGUGCGACAGGGAGCAAGCGGGAAUUGGUACGAUGUCGAGGGAAAAAUAUGUACAUAUACAUAUAGAAAAAGCAGAAGUAUGAGUGGAAACGUACAAAAAUACAACUAGGUUAUAAAAUAAAGGAACGAAAGAACUAGAACAGAGGAGAAUCCAAGAAUCGUAAAAGAAUUGCGAGAGGAUAGAACAACCUACGAAAACAUACAUAUAUACAUACAUAUGUACAUACAUAUAUACACAAAAGAGGAAAAGCUAAAAUUUGAGAAAAGAAGGGGAAUAAAUGUAGAAGAAAAAAAGUCUGUGGAUAUACGGGUAAAGGAAUGCGUAGAGUGGAAAAGGAAAGUAUAAAUGAACAGCGAGGAAAAGGAAAAGAUUACCAAAGGGGGUGAUACUGUGGGCAACGACGUCGACAACGUCGCACUCCGUCGAGACUCAUGACAUCCGGGAAACGAGGUCGAGGACAACGACCAAGAUCUUAGCACCCUCCGGCUAUCCGAGAUAUAUAUAUAUGUAUGUAUGUAUGCGUACGUGUAUAUAUAUGUGUGUGUAUGUAUGUAUGUAUGUAUAUAGUUGGAAUAAGAGUAUAUCGCUACUACGAAAGAAACCGUCUGAGCUAUGCCAGAAGUUUUAAUGUGUAUGCGAGCUAAAGAUAAAGAGCCAUGAUUUGAGAAAUAUGUCAGAUAUACGAUAUAUAGAAAUAUUUGCGAAAUAAGGAUAACGUUUUAGUAUAAUAGAAAACAUAUUCCCAAAUUUAUGAGAAAAAUUUGAAAUAAAAAGAAAUAUUCCUAUUAAUUGCAUAGCGUACAGGCUCGUUCAAUUGUACGGUUCUUACUAUUCUUACUUUCCAAAUAUAUUUUACUUAUUCACAUUGAUUAAUAAAGCUUGUAUAAUAUGAUAUAUGAAAGUUCUUCGAAGAAAUAUGUAUAAUUUGCAACUAUGGUAGCAGUCUCUGCGCACAUACGCAUUGAGCCAGUGGCAUUCUCUCAUUUGUCCGCAAGCCAAGGAGUCAGUCGAGUUCGUGCAAGCAAUCAAAACAAACGACACAAUUCUAAAAUAAAGUUAGUUUUUUUUAUAAUCGAUUUCAUUAUUUAUAGUUAUUGUUAUAGUUUGUCUCGUUGUAUCGUGAUUGGGGUUAGGUGAUAGGCCAAUAUACAAAUGAUUGUGUAUCAAGUGUCGAAGGAUUUUUGAAUCAAUAACCUUUUAUUGCCUACAGAACGCUUCUAACGAACGAAUGAUUUUGUGUAAUGUCCUGAGAAGUAACAAACGAUUAUCUUGACAUACGCGUAAACGAAACUCAGGGGAAUAUAAUCUUCAAUUUAUACAAACGCACUUCGAUUCCAUUCAAACCGCCGCGUUUUAUCCAGUACACAAAAUUAGGCAUCGCAGUCGCAACGCAAAACUGUUUGGGCCCGCUAGUCCACGGUCCAACACGCAGCAAGGGAAAACGGCUUAAUUUACAGCAUCCUCGAGCGUUUUCGUUAUCUCUUUGCAAGAGCCGAGGUUGACGAGAACCAGGUUGGUCACUGUAAUCGUUUCUAGCCUGUGUACGUUCUUACACACACACACACACACACACACACACACGCACACGCACACGCACACACACGCACACGCACACGCACACACACAUCCCUACAGAUUCUGAUUGCAUUUAAUACGAUUCCUUUAUCAAAUAUCAUAAUUCUAAUGCGGCAGAUCCGAGUGCUAGUCCGUUUGACACCAUGACUGAUAAGUUCGAUCCCAGAUAGGAAAAUUUGACUGGGUAUGCUUCUGUUGUACACCGUUGCAUAUUGCGUUUAGAGGGGAAAGAGGUGGGCAAUACGGAUGUGAGGCUUCUAACGAUAAUAGGCUCCGAUGCUGGAACGAGUAAACCGUUACGCAAGAGUUAACCAACUCUUUGCAUAUGUGUUUACAAUCUUAUUUGCGAUUGUUGAGGACGAUGAAUACACAUUCGAAAAACGCCUUUGAACGAAACUAAUUCGUUCCACCACUAAUCGGCCACUUUCUUUCAAACAGACAAGGUAAAGAAAGUGAACAGACUCUGAGCGACUUACCAAAUCAUAAAGCAACAGAGAUAGUCGUCUCGCAUUGUUUCGAAAGGAUGUAUAAGAACAAUCGAAAAAUGGAUGUUAUAUGAUAAUCGAUGGUUUAAGUUUGUCUUAUGAUAUUAUAUAAUUUGGAGUUACGAUCACGAGAAAAGGAUAUUAUUACCUGUAAUCCAGUAGAUCAGAAUGGAAUUAACAAAGAAAUAGCCUGCGAUGUUGAGCAAAUGCAAACGAAACCUGUUGCACGACAAUGUAAGACAUUGUGCGUCGAAAAUGUAAAAUAUAUAAAACAAACAUAAAAUGCAUACAAACGCUUCAAAUAGUAGAUCAUCCUUGUUAUUUAUGGAAAUCCCCAUUACGGAUCUCAUUGUAUCAAAUUUCAGUCUGCAAUAGUGGAAUUGAUCAACCGAUUGUGAGAAAAAUGCAUCGAUUAGAGUGAAAAUUAUUUUAGUCGAAUAUAAUAUACAAUGUAAUAUGGUGUUCUGCAGAGGUAUGUCUAAUUAAUGGUUUAUACGAAAAUGACGCUCGGAAAUGAAACAUUACGAUUGAACGGAACUUGUAAAAUUGAUAAGGUAAAUAUUUAUACUCGCGAAUAGUACGUCUGAGAAUACAAGACUGAAAUUCUAGCUACUUAAGCGUCCCGUGUCUCUCACACCAGGCGCCUAAAAUCUGCAACGGUAUACAUACAUGUACACGGUAUAUACAUACUGCAGUAUGUUCGUGCUACUUUUACUUAUAUCUCUUUCUCCGUGUGCCUGAAACCUUGGUUGCGUGUACACGAAGCAACCCCUCUGUGUUUCUGCGCUCUCGCUAAAUCGAAAAACUUUACCACUCGACGCUCGAGUCAAGAGUAGAACGAAUCGAAAUAAAAUGAUAGUCGAUGGUACGAGUUGGGAUUAGGGCCAACUGGUUGCGGUGCUUCGGAAUGAUAACGACGGAGAGAGUACGUUCGCACGAGAAUGGAAGAAAAAGGCCUGCUCUUCAUAAACGUUGAAAUGAAAUGCGACGACAUACAGUGGUGUUCCUCGAGAUUACUAACUUUUUCCCAUCCCACUAUUUCCUAGCUUGAGAAUACACUCGACGUGCAUCACCGAACUAUUGUAGUACGAAAGGACUCGAAAGCUUGUUCGACAAAUAUUUCUAUUCAUACUUGAUAAAACUUGCAACGUAUUGCAGAUGUCACAUAACGAGACGCAAAAUUAUUUGUUUUAUUAUAUUAUUAUCCACUGCUAUUAUAAAUUACAUAGAAAGAAAAUGGCGACCCCAAAGAAGAAGAAAAGAAAAGAAAAGAAAAGAAGAAAAAGGGACAAAAAAGGAAA